CAAUUUUGCUCCUGUUCCAUCACUGAAUCUGGGAUGCACUAUUUUCUGUGGAGUAACUGGAGUAACUGGCAAUUCUCAUUCUAUCACACUACAGUAACAGCGUGUCCUUUCCUACAUCUUCAACCUUGAGCUGUAUCUGUUCAGGAGCUGCCAGAUGAAUGUAGUGACCAGAGGGCUGCACAGAGGUUUCCAGCCACAGCUCAACCUCCUUUGUAUUGUGAGAUGCUGAAAAUAGCUUUGAGGGCAGCUAGGAGAAGCUGUACCCAGGACUGUCGAAAGAAUUGACAUUGGUAUGAAAUGGACAUUUGAGCCGUGGAAGAACAGGAGUAGAAAGAUGUGCCAAAGCAUGACUGCCUGCAUCUCAAGUAGCAGAGGCAGUCAGAAAGCCUGGCUGCAGGAUAUACAGCAACUCUGGCACAAGGCUA